rnacentral:rRNA from 1 species
GACGAACGCUGGCGGCGCGCCUAACACAUGCAAGUCGAGCGAAGCGGCGAACGGGUGAGUAACGCGUGAGGAACCUGCCUCUCACAACGGGAUAGCCUCGGGAAACCGGGAUUAAUACCGUAUGGUGAGAGAUGGCCUCGCGUCUGAUUAGUUAGUUGGGGGGGUAACGGCAUACCAAGACGACGAUCAGGAACCGGCGUGAGAGGGUGAACGGGCACAUUGGAACUGAGAAACGGUCCAAACUCUUACGGGAGGCAGCAGUGGGGAAUCUUGCACAAUGGGGGGAACCCUGAGGCAGCGACGCUGGGUGAGCGAUGAAGGUUUGCGAAUCGUAAAGCGCUGUCCUAUGGGAAGCGGUACCAUAGGAGGAAGCCACGGCUAACUACGUGCCAGCAGCCGCGGUAAUAC